ACGACUAGAGUCCUGGAACGGAUUAAGUUCGUGAGCCAAGGUACCAUUGUAUUCACUUAAUCCUAGGCUAUUUCAUUUGCAAACCAAUUUGAGCAGAAAUUAAAUAAAGCUGAUUGAAUUUCCCAUUUGUAAUACUUUAUAAUGUAGUGAUUUCAGUUUUAAAGACUUGCUGUAGGGAUGAAAAAAAGCAAGAUUGCUUAUUUUCAUGUUAUUUUGAAAACAGUAUGCAAAAUACCCCCACCUGUUUUGGUGAGGAAAGAAGACUAAUGUAAUAGUCAAGGCUUGUCAGCCUCAACAUGGAUCAGUAUUUUCCAGAAAAAUCAUGCAUUUCCCUGCUCUCUUUCCCCUCUUGACAGCGGAAACAUGAAGUUGAACCUAUCUCAAGGGUAUCUUGUGAUUUAAAUUUGGACAACUGUCCAGUGAAGUGGAUGUUAUUGGGAAGGAGGAGUGAAUUCUUCAUAUAUACUGUUUCUCACAUAGAAGUGGUAACAUAGUUUUUCUUAUGUACUUAUAUAAGAUAGUGGAAUGUUUUGGUGGGCAUGGGUAGAGAAUAAUGAGGAUAAUGGAGGUGGUGAAUCAGAGCAUAGUCAUCCACAGGUUCUGAAGGAAAUAAAGUAUCAGACAUUAAAUCAGAAGAUUGAUUACAAAAGGACAGUGAAUAUGCACUGACUUUCAAAGAAAGACAUUGGUUACCUUGAGUUCCUUUGAGUUUAUAGUUCCAUCUGUGGGACUGUAUAAAAGAAUGCAGAAGAUUGAAAUAUGUAAUCACUGGUUAUCAGAUCCCUGCCUUAGUCUCAUGCUUCUAAUAUAUGGUGGAAUGCCCUCCACAUUUGUAGGUGUUGGGGUCACAGGCCCCCCACGAAAGUGGAAAAACUGCAAAUAUUUCUAGCCCCUCCCCCUCACAAAACCGUAACACUCAAUACUGUUGACCGUAUGUACACUGGAUUGCUUCUUCCUCUCAGAUCAUAUUCUCUUCAUUUAUUACAUUCUUAUGUUAUUCCCCACCCUCCCUUUCAUUCUCUUUGCACCAAGGAAAUGCUGGAGAUACUCCCCUCUCUGGAUAGAUGGGGCAAGAAGGCAUGCUUUAGAAGCCCCCCUCCCCUUCUGCUGCUGCUGCUGCUGUUUUUCUGCAAUAGGCCACAAAACUUUUUAAAAAGGUCCAUUUAAUUGAUGAUGGCAAAUAUGCAGAUAAUCUAAUCCAUGAAAGUUAAACCCGUGGAAGUUGAGGUUCAACUGCAUAGAAGUUGUAGGUUUGGACCUCAUGGAAUCCCCGUGACCAUAUUUCCCAAAAGGGAGUAUAAGGAUAAACCUGAAGCAAUGCAGCUCCAAAGCAAAUCAUUCCAAGAUGAGACCCAGGUGAAGUGUGAAGCCAAUGGUGUUGUCACAGACUCUUCUCCCAUCCAGCCAUCAGAACCUAACCUGGCAAAAAGCCUAUGGACUUCCAAACCACCUCCCCUUUUCCAUGAGGGAGCACCAUAUCCUCCUCCUUUGUUUAUCAGGGACACAUAUAACCAGUCAAUACCUCAGCCUCCGCCUCGGAAGAUUAAACGGCCCAAGCGGAAAAUGUACAGGGAGGAACCCACUUCUAUUAUGAAUGCUAUCAAACUACGACCAAGACAGGUCUUGUGUGACAAAUGUAAGAACAGUAUUGUUGCAGAAAAAAAAGAAAUCAAGAAGGGCAGCAAUGCAAGUGAUUCCUCAAGGUAUGAGGAUAGUAGAAAACGAAGGAAUGAGAGCAUAACUACUGUGAAUAAAAAAAUUAAAACUGAUCAUAAAGUUGAUGGGAAAAGCCAAAAUGAAAGCCAGAAAAAGAAUUCUGUGGUCAAAGUUGCAACUAUUGCCAGCAGAAGCAGAGUAGUCAAAGUUCCCACUCAAGCAAAUACAUCAAAAACACAGUUAAAUACGAAAAAGGUUCUCCAGAGCAAAAACAUGGAUCAUGCAAAAGCUCGGGAAGUUUUGAAAAUAGCCAAAGAGAAGGCACAAAAGAAACAGAGUGCAACCUCUACUUCCAAAAAUGCACAUUCAAAGGUCCACUUCACACGGCGUCUUCAGAACACCAGCUCAGGUUCCCUGCCUCCACGAUUGCGCCUAAAGCCACAAAGGUACCGAAAUGAAGAAAACGACUCCUCUCUCAAGACAGGGCUUGAGAAAUUGCAGAGUGGCAAGAUGGCAGCUAAGCCCCAGUCUCGCUGCUCCUCUACCCGCUCAGCAGGUGAGGCCCCUUCAGAAAAUCAGAGCCCCUCAGAAGGUCCUGAAGAGGCCAGCAGUGAGGUUCAGGACACAAAUGAAGUGCAUGUUCCUGUUGAUCAGGAUGAACAGCAGACACUGAGCAAGAGAGGCAGCAAAAGCAAUAUAACAGUUUACAUGACCCUUAAUAAAAAGAAAUCUGACUCUUCCAGUGCAUCAGUGUGUAGUAGUGAUAGCACAGAUGACUUGAAGUCUACCAACUCUGAGUGUAGCACUACUGAAAGCUUUGAUUUUCCUCCAGGCAGCAUGCAUGCACCUUCUUCCUCCUCCUCGGCCUCUUCAAAGGAAGAGAAAAAGCUCAGUAAUUCCUUGAAAAUGAAAGUCUUUUCAAAAAAUGUCUCUAAAUGUGUCACACCAGAUGGCAGGACCAUAUGUGUAGGAGACAUUGUUUGGGCCAAGAUCUAUGGCUUCCCCUGGUGGCCAGCCCGUAUUCUUACUAUAACUGUGAGCAGGAAAGAUAACGGCCUUUUAGUCCGGCAGGAAGCGCGUAUUUCAUGGUUUGGGUCCCCAACAACAUCUUUCCUUGCUCUUUCACAGCUGUCCCCUUUUUUAGAAAACUUUCAGUCGCGAUUUAAUAAGAAGAGAAAAGGUCUUUACCGCAAGGCCAUUACAGAAGCAGCUAAGGCUGCUAAGCAGCUAACUCCUGAAGUUCGGGCCCUGCUGACACAGUUUGAAACAUGAACAUGAAAAGUAAGGUAGGCAAGAAAUGUGGAGGCUCCUUGAAAUACAUAGUCUAGUUAAAACACCAUGAAGGACUUGGCCAAUUAAACACAAAAUUGCACUCAGUUGGCUGCUUUUUUAUACUGAAAUUUCCAUUUGUAGCAUUGUCUUGACUGAAAGGUAUACUUAACAAAUUGUACAUGCAAUCAAAUUAACCUAAAGAGAGAGCUCAGUAUUUUUCAAGAGGACUUACUUUUUUUUGGUAAAAGUUAAAAUUCCUCUGACCACCCCAUGCACAGGAGCCAUAACCUCAGCUGAAGAGCAGUUUAUUUGCAGGGAAUUUUUACUAGUUUCUACCCACUAUAUAUACCAUUUCAAUGUGUGGAAAGGGAUGGGGAGGGGCAGUUAUUACAAGAGAUGGAAGUUGUUGACAUGAACUGGAUAGUCCACCUGAAAUGCAGAUGCCUAGGUCCUGGCCAAGCCUUGAAUGUUGUUUUGGUUUUUACCCCAGACUAAUCCUAAUAGUGUGAGUGGGCCCAAAGAGUUCAGCCUAUGCCUAAAAACACUUUCAUUCCCACUGGCCACUUUAAAACUUUUUAGAAACCAAUUUAAUUUGAACUCUGUUAGAAAUGUUUAAUCAUUAGUAAAUGGGUCUUGGUGGUCACUUCUUUCCGAACACUGUUAUGCUAUGCACGUAGGAAUAGAAGUAUGAACUUCAGGUUUUGGCAAGUUAGGAGGAAGCCAGUUGCUCAGAGACAGGUCUGGAUAGUCCCUCCAUAUUUGGGAUCAAGGGCUGUAAAUGCUGCAUUAGGUGUGAAUCAUAACUUUCUAUGGGAUGGUGGGGGGGUACUCUUAGGACAAUUGUCUUGGAGGGUUUAGUUUGAGAGAUUUUGUGUUGUGUAAAUAAUUAGUCAGAUUUUUUUUCCUGACUACUUGUUCUUAAAUUCUUAGGCUACGUCCUAGUAAAUUACACUUUGUGAACUGUCAGAUGUGUAAUUGUUGCAUUUGGAUGUACCGAACUGCAUAUUUUUUUUAAAAUAUUUCCAUUUAAGGUAUCUGUUUGCAGGUCAGAAAAUAUGGCAAAUGUAAUUGUGUAAUGCUCUGAAAUGUACAAAAAAACUGUAAAUAAAAUUGACUAAAUCUAAUUAUUUGUGUGUGUUUCUCAAAAAGCUUUGAAAAGAUCAGGAAACGAGGCUAUUUUCUGUUUACACAUAUAGGAGAUACUUUAAAAGAAACAAUUCUCUCUCAGCACCAUCCAAACUAGGUUCAUUAACUACAUAAGAUACUAUUUGGUGUUCAAAAGCUAAAGUUCUAGUUUUUGAGAAAUCAGUUAAAUCUGUUUCCCCUAAGAAAAUGGUUUUCUUUGUUCUGUCAAAAUAUAUCCAGUAAGAUAACUAUUUUCCACCAUUUGAUGGUUCUUAAUCCUUUUGCCUAAAUCCUGUUAGAUCUUUCACAUGUCUCAUGCUCUGCACUGGGAUUUUUAAUGCCGUUGACUCACUUAAAUACUUCCUAAUGGGCUCAGUUUGUGACUCCACACCAUUGUGAAAACUGCCUAAUUUAUUCCUAAGAAAUUCACAUCACAGUUUUAUGAGUAGGCUUUUAAUUUUUUUUUAAAAAGGAAAGACUUGAAGCUAAACUAAACUCAAAUUGUGUAUCUCAAAUGCACAGUCCAAGCAUUUAAUGACCAAAGGCCCUGUUGUGACAGUUUGAUGCUAAGGUAUGUUUUCAUAAUAUUCCAACAUUAAACUUGAUCAAAAAACACUUUAAGCAUUAACCUGAUCCUGUGUACGUAGUUUCAAAAUCUGUUUCAAUUAGUUUCUCACCUUUGCUAAAGAACUCCUUGCAAUAAUGCUAGGUGAGCAUACAUUUUCGAUUUUUAGAAAAACUUGCAUUUAGUCAAUGCUUUUUGACAUUAGAGAACACACAAAAUUAAUAGCGUUCAAUUAAUCCUGUUUCGCUCCUGUUCUGUGUAUUCUUUCCUGCAAACAGAAACAAAUACCGUAUUUAACUAAAUGAGCAAAAAUGUAGUCUAUCGUUUCUUUUCAUGCAGACUGCUCAGAAUUUUUAAAAAAUGGACAAUGUAGCAAGACGGCUGUUAGCGUUUACUGCAAAUCUUAAAAUGCAGCUUAGUUCAGGGCUAUUAUGCACUUUAUGAAAUCAUUAGGUGUACCUGGGUGUGCUUGCUGAUUUCAUAAUGCUUUAACCAGUCCUUGGCGGGAAAGUGUGGUCAAAACUUAAGGGUAAUAUUUGAUUAUGCAAGUCGUCUGUGAUCUUACCACAUCACAGCCUUUCCAGUCUACUGUUGGGCAGAUGUUUUGGACUUCAAUUCCCAAUUAGCCCCAGCUACCUUGGCCAAUGGAUGGAUGUACUGGGGACUGUAGAUCCCAACACAUCAGGAAGGCACCAGAUUAGAGACAGCUGCCAUAUUGAAUAGAGGCAGCUUUGCACAUUUGGAGUACUUCUCUGGGUAUAACAGAUUUCUGAGGACUUGGUAAGAACUGACAAUAGUCUUGUCUUUAAAAUUACUAUGUUUACAACUCCACGGAACGAUUACAUUUCUAAUGGUUGCAAUUUGGCAGGCCUUACAUGACUUAAUGCUAAGCAGAAAAUUUUAAUUCUGUGAGCAAAGUCCAAUGUUGUGAAAGCAGAAGUAGGCUUAUACAAUAGGAUUUUCUCCACACACUCAAAUUUGCUCUGGAGGGUCCCAACUUUCUGGAGCAGAUUUUGAGGGUGAACGGGAGGGGCUGCAGGAGGGAUUAAAAAUAGCCCCCUGCUCUGUUGUUAAAACAGUUCUGUCUGCAAGAAAAAUAGAAUGGCACCUUCAUUUUUUUCUCAGUGAUUUGCACUCAAUUUGGUAUCCUUUUGAAAAUGCUCUGUUACUUUGUUAUCUGCUCAAAUCCUAGGGAUCUUUAGUGACAUUUUGAUGCUACCAGCAAAGGACUCUUCUAACUGGUUUAAUUUUAGAAACCAGAGACAUCAUACAGUAAAUAUCAGUCCAAUUUGCUGUAUGUCAUCAAAUGGACUACUGUGGUUUAUUUUGAUUCCUGUUCUCAGAGAUGAAGGCAAAAUCAGCUGUUCAAGAAAGGGUACCAGUCUACAGGGCUUGACUUCAAGAGUCCGGCUGCUGACCUUCCUCCAUCUGCAGUGUAAUUGUGCCCCUCCCCAGAAUAAUCAGUUUAGAAUUGUAGGACCCUUCAGGGAAUGGUCUUGGGAGCUGCAGAGGAGAAUGCGAUAGAAAGUGAUGACACACGCACUCCGUGAACAGCCAGGAUCUUUGUAUUCAAGCUGUUGAAUUUUAGCCAAAAUAACUAAAUUAUUCAAUUAAAAAGCUGUUUUAAAACAAGGAUCCAUUGUAUUUCAACAGCUCUUUAAAUAUUAUGUUUAAUUAUCUGGUUAAUUUUACUCUAACCCUUGCUUUAAAUAGAUAUCACAUGGAUACAUAUUUUAGCAUUGCUCAGAUCUAGCAUAAUUUGCAUCAGACUGAAUGUAGUCAGCCUAAAAAAAUCAACCAAUUUUGGAAUUCAGAACAAAUGUUAGAAUGUGUGUGCUCUUUUGUAUUAUAGCCACAGUAAGUUAACCAUAGAAAAAUUCAAACAAGAAUGAUCAAGUAUAUUUAUUUUAACAUCCUUUUAGUAUGUGUUAAUCUCUCUAGGCAGGUCCUCCCACAGCUUAGUAUUGGGCCAAAGGCACACUUAAGAAAGGUCAAGUGACAGCCAGCGAGCAAGCAAGAAGCAGCUUAAAUGAUACAUUUACUAAGGUUAAAAUGAGAACUCGCAGCUAUUUCUACGCUCAGUGAGAGGGAUGACAAAAGUAGUAAACAGUAGGCUCCAAAUGCAGGUGAAUAGUCACUAGAAUAAAAUAGGCCUGUACAGCUGGAAAGCAGUUAGCUGACACAAAGAAAAACAGUGAACUAAUGGGACUGCUGCAGCUGCUAGAGAGGAAUCUCUGUAUUCAGGCCCCACUGAUGGCUUGGUAUUAGUUCGUAAUGAGUGGGCAGUGCUGGAUUUGAAGUCCAAUUGGAACAUACAACAGAUUUGUCUUAGUGGUGGCUGAUUUAGGCUAUUUAAACUUACUGAAUAAAGAAUACCAAGUAGCUUUGGUGGGAGGGAGAUAAAACCAAGUCUGAAUUUGCAUUAUGAGAGCAUAGAAACCUCAGUCGGUGAAGUGAAUGAGCCGUGAAACUGAAUAGUGGGAGACUCAAGGCAGAUAAAAGGAAAGACUUCUUCAAAAACAUGACUCCACUUGGACAUCUUGAAAAGGGAAUCAACAAAUUUAUUGAGGCUAAGGCUAUAUAUGACCUCAGCAUCAAGGGAAAUAUGCCUCCAUGGCAGUUGCCAGGGAGCUAUGUGAGAGAAGACACUAUUGCGUGCAUAUUCAGCUUUAGGGCUUCCCAUAACUAUUUGGUCAUGGUGGGAACAAAAUACAGGUCUAGAUAGGCUUUCUGUCUGACCUGGUACAGCCUUUCACACAUCCUGAGAGUCAGAUGCCUGCAGGCUUGUUUCUCAGUGGCUGGGCUCUCUUGAGGGACAGCUUCCUCCAGGGGGAUCCAAGUGCAUCCUCAUGCUCUCCCCGUUGUACCUGGAUGACUGAGAGUGACCUUGGUGUAGGGAGGCUGAUUCUUACUCGCCGUCCUUGUUGCGCGGCACCCAGGCCCUCACAGGCAGAUGGCGUGGUGGCGCGCUUCAUCCCUCGGGUCCCUGUAGUAUGCAUGUGCCCCACUUACACACCCAUUCUUAGUUAACAGCUGGUGAUCUGUGUUCUGAACUAUUAUGUGAUUGGCAAGCAAAUUCCAAUGAAGUGUGUUAGUGUUCACAUGCUACAUAUACUGUAACAGGGCAUAUAAGAAUUCAGAUUUAUGGUUGCAACCCUUAAUUCACUUUUAAAAUGUUGUUCUGGUGAAAUCUUUACAAAAUUGUAAAACAGGCACUUGAUGGUCUGAUGCAAGUUGUGCAGAUGCUGAGCAUGUUACAUGAGACAAAAACAAGAUGGAUCCUUGUGUCUCCAAAGGCUAUUCAGAUAGCCUUCAAAUCCAGCAAUAAUGUGGGGAUUCCCCACACCCAUAUGAAAAAUGUAGCUAGAGCCCAAGCCCCAGACGUUUCAUCCUAUGAUGUUACAAGUACCCUUACACAUGCCCUGGUUAUGCAGAGCUUCAGCAUCGUGUUGUGCCUGUUCAGAAAUGUUCUGGCUUGUAGGUUGAAGUGUCCUUCCGGAAGGUAGGAUGCCCCUCUCAUAGUCCCAAGUGUCUAUGGAAUGCAUUUAUAGUAUGUUCUUCAUAAAAAUGGUAUCAAACCUAGACUAAUCCUGUUUUAGGAAUCUUUUUCCCCUCUCUUAAUGGUCAGCUAGAUAUUGUGGGUUGGAUACAGGUUUAAUUGAAUUUUAGAGCAGGCCCAUUGAAAUCCACUGGAUGGAAGUUAGUUGCAACUAACUGAUAGUCAUACUUAAUAGUAGACCGAUUGUAACUAAGUCUGGAUCCAACUACCUUAUGUGUCAGAUUAUGAAAAGCAACCAUUUAAAGUUCACUCCUUGCAAGUUGUAACUCAAACCCAAACAACUUUUUUCUCAUGUUGUUCUUGGUUUUGAAAUUCCUCAGUAUAUCAUGAGACCUGAAUGUUCUGUUUUUCUGUUUGUAUGUCAUUUGUACAGCUGGGACAGAGUACUGUGGAAAGAAAUUGUAAUGUUGUGUGAAUUCUUACCUUUCUAAAAGAAACCAUUUAGUAUGUGAGAGCACAGCCUUAUGCUUGCUUUGAGCAUAAAACACUUUUUGAUGUAAUUAGUGGCUUCUUUGCCAUGUGGCAUGGACGGUUACUGCUCCACAGAAACAAACCCAGCCCAGCUCACACUGCCCUGAGCCUGCAGGAGUUGUUCACUUACUGAAAAAUUACUCAGUUUGGCAGUAGUUACAGCUAAGUCUCAUUAAAAGCAGUGCAAUAUGAAUUAAUACCACUAACUCGUCAGAUAGAUUUCACCGAGACUUAUCUGUGCCGUAUUAAAAUUGAUGAAGCACUGCUAUGGCAUCUUCCAUAAAGGCCAAAGUAGACUGUUUGUAGGAGAGCUAUGAUAUGCAUGUACAAGGAAGGAGUGCUGCUGCGGAGGGGAUUUAACACUUCCCUUUGUGACAUUUCCCCUACUUAAAUUGCAUUCCCACCCAGCUGCUGUCAGCUGGCCUGGACCUGGCAGCCAACAGCACUUUCCAUAGAGGACUAACUCCCUCGGCCCUGAGCUACAUCCACACACACAACCGAGUGCCUUUAAGCAAAAAGGAAAAAAAAAAAAGAUGGCUGAAGCUCUAAUCCCAGAUCCUGGUAUCUUAUCAAGUCUGGCCACAGCUGAUUUAAUUAAAGGAGCAGAGCCCAGCCAACAAGACUCUUGAGAGGCUUUUACCAAGCUUUUACCAAGAGGGGUGUUUUCCUGCUGAACAUUCAUUUUUAACACUCAUGUGACUGUAUCGGAUUGUGAACAAGAGAACCCAAAGUGUGGAAGCUCAGAGACAUUAAAUCACCUGCUGUAUUUAUGGAACCUUCCAACACUGGCAUAAAGUGGGUCAGCUAACCAGAAGUGACAUACGUCUGAAAUUUCACUUCCUCUGAGAUCUAGAUCAUGGUGUACACUGGGAGAGAAACCUUUUUUCAGAAACUCCCCCCUUUUCCAAGACACCUAUCUUUAUUGUACAUUUUACUUUGGAAUUUGAAGUUAGAAAUAUUUUGUAAACUUUUUUUGCAAUAAAUAAGGCAUGAGCCAAGGAGCCUGUUCAAAUUGAACAUGCAAGGAACCACUUGAAUUAUUAGUAUGAAGAAUCACAAAGUGUACUCUUACUCUUCAAAUGUGAUAGUCUGAAUAGGCCCCAGCGAUGGAGUCAAGAUACCUGGAAAGUUGGCUGUAAACUUCUGAACAUUUACUUUUGUUCUUAGCGUGUUAUAUUUUACAUCUUAACAAAUUUUAGUCUUUAGUGCAGGUGUUAGCAGAGCUGUAACCUUUGACUCGAAGCAUGUCCAGAUUCAACUGUGGUGACAAGUACUGCCAGGCCUGGCUUGAGACCAAGAUUUUGAUAGAGACGGCGGCGAUCGCAAACUCUAACUCGAGUGGUUAUGGCAAAGAUGAUCCUUCGUGGAGAUUGUUUCUUUGAUGGCCAGCGUUGAGGGUAAUUUUUUUAUAAAUGGCAUGGUAACUGUUAUCCAAAGUCAUGACAUUUCCUUCCUAGCACAGUAAUAUAUUGCACUUCAAGUUAGUCAUGACUCAGUCGUAACUAACCUAUUCCACUGGGGCAAUAUUUAGCUAGAUGGGGUAUUAGCAUUUCCAAUGUUAGUUUACAAUGAUGAAACAACCCCCAUAAAUUUCAUUUUUUUUCCUUCAGUGGGACUUAUUUAACUUCAAUAUGGUUCCACAUUUCAAUGAAAGAGACCUAAUUUUUGCAAAAUUGCACCUACUAUCAAAAGGAGUUACUUGUUCAGUAUUUUUCUUAUUCUGCUCCUUUUCAAGGUAUGCACACCUUUUAACUUGCAUUGAACUUUCUUAACAGUAGUGUAAGAUUCACCAGGAGCUUGACAGGGUGAGAUCAAAACAAAUGCACAAUCUGAAGACUGAUACAAAUAUACAUGGAAACGUAAGGAUGCUUUUUGUUCAGAGAUGUAUCGGUCUUAAGACAACCAUGGCCCAGUUAAUAGAAAAUAACUCUUUUCCAAAGUUACGCAUACCAGCAAAUAUGGACUGAAGUGUUAGUUUCUUCACUUCCAUGCAUGUUGUUGCAAUCAUAUGUUUUCCCUUUGACUUUAUUUGGCAAAGGAUUUAUAUUUUUAAAUAGCAUUCUAAACAUUGGAAAGAUGUAUGAAGAAUAGUCCAAUAUAAUUAUAUAUUAAAGAUUUAGUAAUUUUCCAUGAAAACAUUAAAAUGUAUUUAUGAAACAGACCACAGCACCUAUUUCAGAAAGUUACCUACAUGAUAAUGAUUAGUAGGGUCAACUGUGCUGCUUCUCUCAAAAGACUGCAGGUGACUUUUAAAGGGUUUUGAAGUACUCUACUUGCAAUUCUAAAAGGAAAUUAUGUAGAUGUUCUCUUCAGUUUAUCAUUCAAUAGGAUUACUAAAUUUGGGGAGGUUAAAAAAAUACCAGUGAGCCAGCGUAGUGUUAUUUUCCUCUAGAAACAAAACGCUGCUUUAUUGCAUCUUUUUUUUUUUUUUUUCAUUUUGAUGUGUCCGCUGGAGGAGGUGCAUAUACCAUGGCACAAAGUAAUAGUUUCUACUCAGGAAAAUGGCUGUUGGGCUGUACAAACAAGUAUACAUAUCUGGAGUGAUAAUGGGUAGGGCCAACAGUGCCUGCAUAGAUGACAUCCUACUUGAGGUCUGUGCUCUUGUUCCUUCUCCUUCAAGAGCACCAGCACUACCCAUUUCAGAUCUGUAACACAGUAGGAUGUUGGAGAGUUGCAUGAUUCUACCUUAUGGGUGAAAUGGAGGGUACAUGUGAAAAAUAUACAGGAUGGCUAGUUUAUACUUGCUCACGGGGAAUUGAGAAAUUACAACCGCCUUGUUUUACACUUUGAAAUAUUGUCAGGGAAAUUUUAGUGGUAGAUGUAUUGCUUUUCACCUUUUUGCUUCAGUUGCUUAAUAUUUAAGCUUUGCUCCAUGCUCCCUUCUACAUCUGUAUACAGUGUCACUAUGCCUCCUUCAUUUAGUUGACUUGAAUAAGGAAAAAAUUCAACUUUUACAGUGUGCUUGAAAUUAAAUGUUCAAGAAUGUUGUGUACCAUCUAUACAAAUAAAGCCUUGUUUUUUCUCUGCACUUUUAAACAAGUUAUACCAAA